GUUGGACUCGGUAGUGGCGGACGGGUGAGUACGCGUGAGAAUCUGCCUUCAGGUCGGGGACAACAGAAGGAAACUUCUGCUAAUCCCGGAUGAGCCUAAUGGUAAAAGAUAAAUUGCCUGGAGAUGAGCUCGCGUCUGAUUAGCUAGUUGGUGAGGUAAAAGCUUACCAAGGCAACGAUCAGUAGCUGGUCUGAGAGGAUGAGCAGCCACACUGGGACUGAGACACGGCCCAGACUCCUACGGGAGGCAGCAGUGGGGAAUUUUCCGCAAUGGGCGAAAGCCUGACGGAGCAAGACCGCGUGGGGGAGGAAGGCUCUAGGGUUGUAAACCCCUUUUCUUUGGGAAGAACAAAAUGACGGUACCAAAGGAAUCAGCCUCGGCUAACUCCGUGCCAGCAGCCGCGGUAAUACGGAGGAGGCAAGCGUUAUCCGGAAUGAUUGGGCGUAAAGCGUCCGCAGGUGGCCAUGUAAGUCUGCUGUCAAAACCCGGGGCUCAACUCUGGUCAGGCAGUGGAAACUACAAAGCUAGAGUCUGGUAGGGGCAAAGGGAAUUCCCGGCGUAGCGGUGAAAUGCGUAGAUUUCGGGAAGAACAUCGGUGGCGAAAGCGCUUUGCUAGACCAGAACUGACACUCAGGGACGAAAGCUAGGGG
rnacentral:rRNA from 1 species